UGUUUCUUUUGAUUUGCUUUCAUUGGUUUCAGUGGGAGCAGGCAGCUCUGGCUUGGGGCCAGUGGGGGCAGUGCACUACAACGAGGUCAGAAGCGGCUCCUUGCUUUGGAGGAGUUAGACGGCCUGAUGGUGACCAUGCCUUUGCAGAUUCUUCCUGGGCUCAGGCACACGUGCCAGGACCCUAUGUGAGGCCCUGGGGAGCACAGUAAGGUCAACACCCAGGGGGCCUCGAGGGUUCCCAGCAGGGUGAAGGGCGAGGCCAGGGACACCUGUGCUAGACGUGAUCUGUAAUCCGAACCGCAGGGUUGGGAGGGGUGGCGGGUGAUGGUGGGGAGGAAGUGAUGCUUCAAGAGCCCGCCUUUCUCGCCCCGAUGGAGAUUAGAGCCUGUGGAUGGGCCCCUUGCUUGACGUGGGCCCAGCAGGCCUGGACAGGCUGAGCAGAGGGAAGCUUGCCACCCCUGAACUAGAUCCCAGCCCAGGGGGUACACUUCAGACACUGAUGGUGGUGGGGGGUGCUGAGAUGGGUUGUCCAAGGGCUGAGCUGUCCAGUUCUCACUUGGAUGAGAAUUGAUGCGGGAGACACACACAGGUGGUGCCCUUGUAGAGACCCACCGAUGCAAUGCCCAGGGUUGCUGUACUCACGAGUGGGUGGACAUGGAGUUUGGGCCUGAAAAUUGCAAGACCUGUCAGAGGAGCUCUCCAACUGAUGACCACUGGGCCAGAAAAGGAGAGCAGCAGGGACCACCUCCACCCUGGGCGAGUGACUCCAGACUACAUCCCGUGUUUCCUGAUGCCACCUGCCAGUACACAGAAAAUGUGGGCUCUUCCUGAAGGUUGUGACUCUCAAGUUUAUUGGUCGGCUAUACCAAAAUUCAAGAGGGAACUAUUGCUGCCAAGCAAAAGACCAUUUCAGUCUCCACGAGGCGGUGAUGCUGCACUGGUGCUCUGGUGUCAGCCAUCUGCGGCGUGGGAUCUCACACAGGAUGAGAAGACUUUUGGUGGAAGAGAUUUAGUUGAGGUGGUGCCUUCUACCAUGCUUUGA
rnacentral:lncRNA from 1 species